CGGACACUGGCACUGUGUCACCAGGUAGACCCACAGCUGUCCUCCAGCUGCGUCUGUCACCAGUACCCGGUAAUCAUAUCUGCAAAUUUCUCAGAGAUGGAUGAAAGAUAUCCAGCAUAUGCAGAGCUGAAGAAAUCUCUUCCUUACAAGAAGCACAUUCAAAUGAAUAACAAAAAAGAGGAACCAAUUUACUCAGAAGUGGAAGAAUGUCCUUCAAAUUCCAACCAAAUAAAGAAAAAAAUUGAAUCAUCUGAAGAAAAUGGGUUCUCAGUUCCCUUAGCCUGGCGCCUCACAGCUGUGGUUCUUGCUGGCUCGUGUUUCUUCCUCCUUUCAGCAACUGGAUUUUUGGGUUUCAUGGGAAGCAAAAAGGGUACGUGUAAAGUUAAGUGGUCAUGCUGUGGAGAGAGCUGUUAUUAUUUUUCACGGGGAAUGAAGAACUUUGAAGACAGUAGGAAACUCUGCAAAAAAAGGACUCCACACUUGUUAAGAUAGAAGAUACACAGGAACUGAACUUUAUUCAAAGCCAAAUAUCUUAUUUCUCUUGGAUUGGGUUGUCCCGUGAAGGAACCAGCACACCCUGGACAUGGGAGGAUAAGUCACAACCCUCUCUUGAAAGUGAUUGGAAAGAGUCAGAGACUGGAAACUGUGGAAGUGUAACACCAACAAAGAUGGUUGCUCUUGAAUGUUCCAGAUUAAUAACCUAUAUUUGUGAGAAGAAAAAUGUUUGUCUUGCUACCAUGCAAUGAGAACAUCAUCAACAAAACAGACAAAUUCAAUCAUUUUUCCUUAUGAAAACCCAGACCCGUGGAAGCUUUUUGUGGGCUGUACCUGUAUUGUACCCGCUGAUUGAGAUGAAUGGAAGCUUAUUGGAAUGAGGAGUCAUAGACUCACCUAUCCUACCCCUAUUACAAGAAGAUGGCCUAACCACACCUUAGUGUGAGCUGGUGAAGUAAGAGAGCACCAGUACUUCUGAUGAGGACUACAAAGCACGGUUCUGCCACGCUCUGUCUGCAGCUCACACAAACCUAGAGAUUUUCUACAAACUUCCGGCACUAACAUCCACAUUUCAUUAGGAAGUAAUGUAACAGUAAAUAAGAUCAUGACUCUAUAUGAAGCGUUAUGAAUUAUUCUCAGGUUCACAACCUUUUAGGAGAAAGACAGAAUGGUGUACUGGAGAGAAUGAAGUAGUAUCUUGAAUCAAGUGUAACUCUGCUCAUUGGCAAAUCCAAACUUUUGACUCUCAAUUUCAUCAUCAGUAAAAAAUUACCAGACUGUUUUCUGAAGUAAUUGUUCCAUUUUGCAUUCUGAAGAGAAUUAUAGAAAAGUUCUAUGUGCUCACAUCCUUCUAAGAUUUAGGAUUGUCCAUCUGUAAAAUCAUUUCAUAAGAAUUUACUAUAUUUGUAAUUUUAAUUUGUAUUUCCCUAUGAGUAAACUAUGUAAACAUCUUUGCUUGAGUUUUUGGUCAACCACACAUCUACUAGGAUAAAAUACAUAGUUAAAUCUGUGCCAACAUUUUAUUGGGUUGUUUGUUGUCUUAAUAUUGAGUGAUGAG
ensembl:lncRNA